rnacentral:rRNA from 1 species
UACAGAGGUGGCAAGCGUUGUUCGGAAUUACUGGGCGUAAAGGGCGCGUAGGCGGCCAUCUAAGUCAGACGUGAAAUCCCCCGGCUUAACCUGGGAACUGCGUCUGAUACUGGACGGCUUGAGUUUGGGAGAGGGAUGCAGAAUUCCAGGUGUAGCGGUGAAAUGCGUAGAUAUCUGGAGGAACACCGGUGGCGAAGGCGGCAUCCUGGACCAAUACUGACGCUGAGGAGCGAAAGCCAGGGGAGCAAACGGG